rnacentral:tRNA from 2 species
GGCCAGAUAGCUCAGUCGGUAGAGCAGAGGAUUGAAAAUCCUCGUGUCGGUGGUUCGAUUCCACCUCUGGCCACCA